rnacentral:misc_RNA from 1 species
UAGUCAGGUAACUGUGGGGAGG